UCCUGCACCCCCGCUGCUUUCGCCAGAGCUCCCUCCUCUGUCGUCAGGCUUGGCUUCCCCUACGCCUUCCACUCCGGCCUAGUCUACAGCAGAACAACAACAUCAAUGGGCGAACCCCAGCAGCCUUGGCAAGCGACCACUUCUCUGGUGAAAUCCCCAGCUUUCUACGGCGUCAACUCCUCGAGAGACGUCAAAAACCUUUCUGAUAUAUGGGCGAAGGAAAUCGACUUGUUUUCAACGAACCAGGAUUUUAUAAAGUUGCUCAUCAAAAACAAAGUGGACUGGGUUUAGAUGAAAUUGUCCAGUUUUAGUUUGGUUGGGUAUGCUGAGGUUUGGACUUGUUAUUGGCUAUCAAAUAUAACAAAAUGGUUGCACAUUGUGUUGUGUUUCUGUCUAACUUGUAUAAGGAUAAAAAUCAUCCAGCCGCUGAUGUUGGGGAAUUGUGGUGUCUGUCUACCUGAUGCACGCGUUGCAGGGAGCAUGGUAGAGUGGCUAGUAGCUCGCAGCUAUUUACUUGAUAUCACAACACAGGGAGAUUCGCAUGACUUACUGUUUCUCCCUGUAAUCUUAGAGCUUAAGUACCAUUUCUGGGAAUUGCCUGCAAGUGCUUCCCUUUGAGCAGGCGUCCUCCAUGGACGACAUUGACGAGGAACAUGUGGUACCGCACGCCUGAGCUGUUGAGCUCGACGAGGACAUCAUCGAGUCCGCCCCAACAUGGACAGUGAGGACGACGAUCCGCACAAGGAAAGUGAGGGAUUGGAGGGACCAGCUCGGUGCAGAUGGCUCUGGAGAUCUGUGGGGUAUUCUAGUAGAGUGGUGGCUGCACGCAUGACGCUUGAUCAGGUCAAGGUGGAGGAUAUAGACACCAAUGUUGCUGUCCUGAAGGCAGGAACUGUUGUUUCCUUUGUUUGAAAUAGGCAAAAGGCUUGUCUUUUUGGCCGAGUGCGACUCAAGUCUUAACGUUUUUUGCUCUGCUUCCUCUACAUAUUUUUACAGAGGCUUGAUAUGGUACAUUUUCCCCGGCUUUUUGGUCGGCUCCACCUUCAUGCUGUGGAACAAGCACCAUGGCAACAAGCAGCUCAUUGGAGCAUUUGAAGUCACAACCCCUCCUUGGUGGCGAACCGUCGAGCAUCCCCUUGCUCAGCAGGAAGCCAUCUUGCAGCUUGAGGCACACGGCCAAGCUGGGAACAUUUUUCUCCUCAAGCUUCGGUUCCUCGUGCUCGCAGCUUUUCCUCAGAGCACAAACAAAGUUGCGGUGGCGAUGCUCGUCGUGGCUGCAACAUUUGUGUUUAUGCCGUUCUGGAGCAUAGCCAUGGUCGUUCUGUUGGAGGCUUACAUGAGACAUAUGUCGUUGAGGAAGAAGAGCAGCGAGAAGCUGGUGAGGAGGUUUCUUGCAUGGAUGAUUUGUCUCUGUCUUUAGAGCUGAGCUGAAUGUAGAUGCUUGGAAGCAGAAGCGUGGCCAUGCAAAGCUUCAGUUGGCGAAGGCAUCUGACACAUGCUGCCCUGGUCUAUUGUAGUAUCAGCCCGCUUCAUCGAGAUAUGGAUGCUUUUCUUUGGUGAAAAAGGGACGUUCUGGAGGAUGGUGAGGACGGCGAGAAAGAAGUUAUAUUUGCUGGAGAUGAUGCACUCACAACCAUUGGGUGAUUCUCCCGGAGGGCGAAGCGGGGCGAGAAGACGGGCCAAUGGAGCUCGGAGCUCUAUGGGGAAGUCUGGUGGUUUGCUUUAUACUUUGAUUUUCACAUGUGAAUGGGACACGCUGUUCCGGUGUUUUGCGGUGUGCUCAUGUUGUAUCCAACAGAUAUCAAAACAAGGUGAUGUUUGUUUUUUGACUCGGAACCAGAAUAUCCAAUGUAUGAUGAACUGAUGGAUCAUCAUCUUCCAACCAUCCUGGUGUUUGGUAAAUAAAAUUUGAUCUUGCUCCAGUUGCCCCUGUAGUAAUAGGGAUGUCGUGGUAAUUUCCAGAGCCACAAAUGUACUGGUAGCAGCAUUGUUGUAAACUUUGUGAAUCCUGGUGUUGGUCGAUGUCAA